rnacentral:tRNA from 2 species
AGCGGGAUGGAGCAGUUGGUAGCUCGCCGGGCUCAUAACCCGGAGGUCGUUGGUUCAAGUCCUUCUCCCGCCACCA